rnacentral:rRNA from 1 species
ACUCCUACGGGAGGCAGCAACGAGGAAUAUUGGUCAAUGGGCGAGAGCCUGAACCAGCCAUGCCGCGUGCAGGAUGAAGGCCUUAUGGGUUGUAAACUGCUGUUCUAUGGGAAUAAACCCCCGGACGUGUCGGGCAUUGACGGUACCGUAAGAAUAAGCAUCGGCUAACUCCGUGCCAGCAGCCGCGGUAAUACGGAGGGUGCAAGCGUUGUCCGGAUUUAUUGGGUUUAAAGGGUGCGCAGGCGGAAUUGUAAGUUAGUGGUGAAAUCCUGGGGCUCAACGGUAGACCUGCCAUUGAUACUGCUUUUCUUGAGUGUGGUUGAGGUGGGCGGAAUGUAGGGUGUAGCGGUGAAAUGCAUAGAUAUCACACGGAACACCAAUUGCGAAGGCAGCCUGCUAGACUGUAACUGACGCUCAGGCACGAAAGCGUGGGGAGCGAACAGGAUUAGAUACCCUGGUAGUCCACGCCGUAAACGAUGAUUACUGGCUGUUGGCGAUAUACAGUAAGCGGCUUAGCGAAAGCAUUAAGUGAUCCACCUGGGGAGUACGGUCGCAAGGUUGAAACUCAAAGGAAUUGACGG